UAGGCGUCCUUCUCUCCUCUUUUGUCCUCUCCGUCCGUCCACUCAUCAACACAACAAACAAUUCUCCCGCGCUUAACUGUUGUCCCUUGAUCCUGUUCCUCGGGUGGAAAAGUUACGGUGUCUGUUGGCAGCGGUGAGGCUGUGGCGAGGAGGUCUGUAAAUGUGUCUGUGGCAAGGCUGUGUGGCUGUUGGCAAGGCCGAGGCAGCGAGGGAGGGAAGGAAGAAAACAAGAACGAUGGAAAGAAGAGAGGGAAAAACAUGCCUGUUAUACUGCGGCAGCGUCUCUGUGGCUGUUUAGUUGUACAUUAACCCGUCCACUGUGAUUGGCACGGAUUUCGACUUCACUGGUAGCCUGGUAACUCAUACUCCCAGGUCCUUCUCUUCCACUGUGGUGGCUAGUGGAGUGUUUCCCAUGUGGUAUUGGUAUGCUGGAUAUCCCCUCCCAAGGUGCAUGACUUUACAUUUUUCUUCAUUGAAUUAUAGCAGCCAGCUUUUGUUCCAUUCCUGUAGCUUGGUGAGGUCUCCUUGUAGCAAAUCCCCAGUCAAGGGGUUAAAAGACAUAUGGUUAUGCAAGUGCAAAUAAAGGGUAUUUUAAAAGUUUACUGCAUGUAAAUAACGAUUAAUAUUGGAAAUAACAUGAGAUAGUAACUAAUAACUAUUGAAUGUGAUGCUACUGUAGGUUACUUCAAAUAUUACCCAUGUUUGCAAUAAGUUAUCAAAAUUCCUUAAGUAUAGGCACUUGGAGAGCCAGAUAUCAAUUUAUAUAUCUGCACUGAUAUGAAUUACAGGUACAGUAUUUGGAAUACUAUAAUUCGUUCGAGUAUGAUUUGACUAUACUGUUUGAUACAAGACUGUCUUUCGUGUGCUUGCAUGGUAUAGUAUUAAUGCAAAUCAGUACAGUUGCAGUUUAUAUAAGAGGGCUUGAGGUUUCUUUAUACACACAAGCAUUCAAAUAUGUCACUGAAAAUAUAAAAAAGUUGAUCUUCAUGUGAUAAACUAUUAAGGGGGUACAGGACACCUGAGGUCAUCUAACUAAACUAUCUGGGGUAGUGCGAUGAAACUUUGCAGGUAAGUAGGCAUUUAUGUUGCCUACAUUUUGUACGAGCCAGAACAAUGUAGUAUGUAUACUUAUAUGUAUACUUAUACAUAUACAUGUGCGUAUACAUGUAGCGACACUUAAAAUUACACAGCACCAUUAAUACAUAACCAAGCACUUUCAUUUUUUAGCUGUGAAUAGUCAUUAGGUAUGCCUAGGGCCCUAUGGAAAAUAUUCUGAAAGUUUCCUAUACAGAAAGGCAUAAUGGUAUUUCUUUUAUUAUGUUCGUCGAUCAUUGCGUAAAAUCGUGUUUUUUGUCAAUUUUUCCUCUUAAUACUCCUAUCUCCUUUGCCCUAUCAAGAAAUGUCUAGUCAUAGGUCCCUAGCUACUUGUACAAUCAACAUUCCCUGAACUUUUCACUUAAAUCUGAUUGAUUUUAGAUUUUCUGCGAUUAAAAAAGACAAAAUUUAUCGAAAGGAGAUAUGAUCAAUUAAAAAAUAUAAGGAUCUUUAACUCGGUCCAUAAACCCGCACCAGACAUUUAAAAUUUGUGCUGCAAGGAAAACAUUGCACGGGGAUUAUUUCUACAUGGUAUAAGAAUGUUUUUAUCCCAGUUUUGCAAAAUGCUAUAUUUUGACCUCCGCCCUUCCCCAGGUGUCGCAGGUACCACAUCGAGGUUUGCGAGUGGACAAAUGGAAUGAAACCGACUAUAGUGUGUUAUGGUUGACCAGGUUUCGAUGGUGUGUUAUGGUUGACCACAUUUUGGUAGUGUUAUGGUUGACCACAUUUCGGUAGUGUUAUGGUUGACCACAUUACGGUAGUGCCUUAUGGUUGUUACGUUUCGGUAGUGUGUUAUGGUUGAUCACGUUUCGGUAGUGUGUUAUGGUUGACCAUGUUUCGGUAGUGUCUUAUGGUUGACCAGGUAGUGUGUUAUGGUUGACCACGUUUCAGCAGUGUGCUAUGGUUGACCACAUUUCAGCAGUGUGUUAUGGUUGUUCUGUUUCUGUAGUGUCUUAUGGUUGACCACAUUUCGGUAGUGUGUUAUGGUUGACCACAUUACGGUAGUGUCCUAUGGUUGAUCAGGUCAGCGUUGGUGUGUGUUUGUGGGUGUGGGUGUGUGUGUCCUAACUCAGCAUCACUUACAGCAAGGUUUUCAUUGUUGUGUUUUGCUCUUAGUGGAUGAGGAAGAAAGUGUGAGGUAUUUUUGUAUGUAUAUAAACAUUCAAAUAUAUUUCUGAAGACA